rnacentral:rRNA from 1 species
CCAGAGAAUUUAGCAGAGAUGCUUUAGUGCCUUCGGGAACUCUGAGACAGGUGCUGCAUGGCUGUCGUCAGCUCGUGUUGUGAAAUGUUGGGUUAAGUCCCGCAAGAGCGCAACCCCUAUCCUUUGUUGCCAGCGAUUCGGUCGGGAACUCAAAGGAGACUGCCGGUGAUAAACCGGAGGAAGGUGGGGAUGACGUCAAGUCAUCAUGGCCCUUACGAGUAGGGCUACACACGUGCUACAAUGGCGCAUACAAAGAGAAGCGACCUCGCGAGAGCAAGCGGACCUCAUAAAGUGCGUCGUAGUCCGGAUUGGAGUCUGCAACUCGACUCCAUGAAGUCGGAAUCGCUAGUAAUCGUAGAUCAGAAUGCUACGGUGAAUACGUUCCCGGGCCUUGUACACACCGCCCGUCACACCAUGGGAGUGGGUUGCAAAAGAAGUAGAUAGCUUAACCUUCGGGAGGGCGUUUACCACUUUGUGAUUCAUGACUGGGGUGAAGUCGUAACAAGGUAAGCGUAGCGAG